AUUGAACGCUGGCGGCAUGCUUUACACAUGCAAGUCGAACGGCAGCGGGGACUUCGGUCCGCCGGCGAGUGGCGAACGGGUGAGUAAUGCAUCGGAACGUGCCUAUCAGUGGGGGAUAACGCUUCGAAAGGAGUGCUAAUACCGCAUAUUCUCUGAGGAGGAAAGCAGGGGGACCUUAGGGCCUUGCGCUGAUAGAGCGGCCGAUGUCGGAUUAGCUAGUUGGUGAGGUAAAGGCUCACCAAGGCGACGAUCCGUAGCGGGUCUGAGAGGAUGAUCCGCCACACUGGGACUGAGACACGGCCCAGACUCCUACGGGAGGCAGCAGUGGGGAAUUUUGGACAAUGGGCGAAAGCCUGAUCCAGCCAUGCCGCGUGAGUGAAGAAGGCC
rnacentral:rRNA from 1 species